rnacentral:rRNA from 1 species
UCAACAACGGAUCUCUUGGCUCUGGCAUCGAUGAAGAACGCAGCGAAAUGCGAUAAGUAAUGUGAAUUGCAGAAUUCAGUGAAUCAUCGAAUCUUUGAACGCACAUUGCGCCCGCCAGUAUUCUGGCGGGCAUGCCUGUUCGAGCGUCAUU